rnacentral:misc_RNA from 1 species
UCUAUUCUCUGGCCCGUUCCU